AUGACCGAGGCCGCUUUCCUGCGGAACAGUGCCGGUCAGCGCCCGAACGGGUUGGGCCCCGGGGCGGGGGCGCGGCGGCAGGGAGGCGGUACCUGUACGCGUUGUACUUGUGGAUGGCCCGGUUCACGUUGCGCUCGUAGUUGGCCAGUUCUGCAGGAGAACCGCGGUGAGAGCAGCCAGUCCGCGGCCUUUCCCACCCACGGAACCGACCGAGCGCACACACCUACCGGAGCAUUGUAACUUCCAGCUUGUAUUGAGUAUGAAGCUUCAAAUUUAUUCAGCAUGUUCAUUGUGUCACAAAAUGGACCUGCCCCAUGUCAAGGAUGACAUCCAAAACUGAGGCUUCUGAUAGGUAAGUUAUGUCCAGGAGAGGGACUGUGAGCAGGGUAACCGGUUUAGGAAGAGCGAGGAGGGCUUUUGAAAGCCACAUGGUGGGAAAAGGUAUCCAUUUGGGGCCCCCGAAGGUUUUUCCUCAAGCACAGCAGAUGCAUUUAAGUGUCUUAAAGCACAGAAAUGCAUUCACCAUGGUCACAGAAACACCAUAUAACUUUGUUCCUCGCUAACCCAAGUGUCCAUUGAAAUAAUGGCCACAGCUUUUGACUCGGGACAAAGCCGGAGACUCAAGGACCUGGGCACACUUAGGAGAGGGUGAGUAGCUGAGUUGCUGGGGUUUGGCCCAUAUGCCACUAAACUUGUGCAUUGAUUUUGGUUUUCUUUAUCUUAGCUGACUAAGAGCCUAACCAGGCUAUCACGGGACCUUCUGAGAUGGCCAAGGAGGACUCAUUUUGCAUCCAAAGUGGAUUCAUGUUGCCGGUCGUCUGAAAGAUAAGUUGGGGGCUUUGACUUGGAGAUGGGAUGAUAGCAGGGUGGAAAUUCCUGGGAGAGAUUCAAUAAUUAGUGCGGGGUAAGGGAUGUCCUCUAAGGGUCCUCUUAGGACAGCUAAAGGUAGUGGCUCUACUCUUGAUUGUAACUGUAGAGUGUGCAGCACAGUUCCAGUCUGUCUUGCGUUGUCUAGUGUGUUGUGUUGUCUAGUGUGUUUCUGGGAUCCCUUGGAUCAGCUAUCUCUGCCUUUUCCCCUUGAGGACCUUAUUGCAAAUGUGAGCCAUCAUCUCUAGGUUCUCAAAUGUUUGUGCUUCUUAGCACAAUGCCAAUAUCAUUUGUCCUUUUACUGGUGGGCUUGGCUGCAUCUCAGUAGUGUUGAGUUGAAUGUCUUUUGAGGCCUUGUUCCCAGCUGUAUUGCCAUUCAUCCUUUCCAGCUGUGAGUUGUAAUGUCCUGGGGCUUGUACGAUUUUAAGGAUAUAGGGAGCAUUCUGAACGUACCAUUGUCUUGUAGCCAUCUCGAUCAUUGUGACCGACUGUUCUUAUAAUAGGUCACUCUGUUACAGUCUUGUCUUCUGCUCUCUAGAGCCUCCUCUGUUCACUGCUGCCAUGAUACUGGUCAUCUCUUUUAGUGUCAUCUCGGUCCUUGCCAUCAUUCUUCUCCCCAAGAGCUUUUUUUAUUAUCCUCAUCACACUGUUUGUAGCAUAAUGUGUUGUUUGAGUUUGUGUUUAGCCUGGAAUUGCUCUGCCCUGUGGAAUAGACUGGGGGGGUAGGUGGAGUAGAAAGAAGACUUUACAGGUAGCCUUUAGCUUUGCUUAGCCACCCGAGCCACACCUCAGACAAAGCAGCCAUGGCUAUGUUACAGCACUGUUCUUUGUCUUUAUUUUAUUCGGGAAGUAAACCUGGAGAGCAGCAGUCAAGGUCGAUGGAGGGAGGUGAGCAGUGAACAGAACCGGUUGUUAUUCCUCGGGUGCCAAGUUCUGGUACAGCUCUAAGCAUCCAUUGUCAUUUGUGUUUCAGGCAGUCUGCUUGUAUUAUGCUGCAUCCCCUCACUGACCGGCUGACAGACCCGGCCCACCGCCCUGGUGAGCCCUCCAGAAGUAUUACGGGACUCUGCGAUGAAGCUUUUACCCUUUGCAUUCAAAGGCAUACCCUGCGACGACGGCGACAGCCUCGGAGUGCGGCCGAAGUGUGCAGCCCGAGAACCCCGGCGUUCCUAGGAGACGCUGACUAAGAGAGAACAGCCUGGCGACUGCAGGAGCUUCCAGGAUGGCGAGGCCGCCUUCUUUUAUACCCGAGGCAGAUUCACAUCCCCCGACAUCCAAGAGAUAAGUCAAGGCUUG